rnacentral:rRNA from 1 species
UAGGGUUAAAGGCCCUACCAAAGGCGCCGAUCCCGUACUGGUUUGAGAGGACGAUCAGCCCCCCUGGGNCUUGAGGACCCGGCCCAGACUCCUACGGGAGGCAGCAGUGGGGAAUAUUGGCCAAUGGGCGCAAGCCUUGAUCCAGCAAUGCCGCGUGGGUGAAGAAGGCCUGCGGGUUGUAAAGCCCUUUCAGUGGGGAAGAAAAGCGUACGAUGAAUACCCGUGCGUACUGACGUUACGCACAGAAGAAGCACCGGCUAACUCCGUGCCAGCAGCCGCGGUAAGACGGAGGGUGCGAGCGUUAAUCGGAAUUACUGGGCGUAAAGCGCGCGUAGGCGGUUCAGUCAGUCGGAUGUGAAAGCCCCGGGCUCAACCUGGGAACUGCAUUCGAUACUGCUGAACUGGAGUAUGGUAGAGGGUAGUGGAAUUCCCGAUGUAGCGGUGAAAUGCGUAGAUAUCGGGAGGAACCCCAGUGGCGAAGGCGGCUGCCUGGACCCAUNCUGACCCAAAAAACGCGCNAGCGUGGGGAGCAAACAGGAUUAGAUAACCUGGUAGUC